CUUUCUUUUUUUUUUGGGUCUGAAGUGUGCAAGAUGUUCUACGCCCUGUUCUAGACUCUACUUCCAAGCAACCCACUCUUUUUUAUGGUACAACGAGGUUGUACACAUCUUAUAUAUGCCCAUAUGCCCAGCGUGCUUGGAUUGCACGGAACUAUAAGGGUUUGCAGGAGAAGAUA